rnacentral:rRNA from 1 species
UACGUAGGGGGCAAGCGUUGUCCGGAUUUAUUGGGCGUAAAGAGCGUGUAGGCGGCCAUGCAGGUCCGUUGUGAAAACUCGAGGCUCAACCUCGAGACGCCGGUGGAAACCGUAUGGCUAGAGUCCGGAAGAGGAGAGUGGAAUUCCGUGGUGUAGCGGUGAAAUGCGCAGAUAUCAGGAAGAACACCCGUGGCGAAGGCGGCUCUCUGGGACGUGACUGACGCUGAGACGCGAAAGCGUGGGGAGCGAAACAGG